UCAAAUCCGGAAAAUCAAGGCUGAGGCGUGAUGACGAGGCACUACGGUGCUGAAGCAACAAAUGCCCUGCUUCCAGGAAAAGCCUCUAAGCAUCAGGUAACAUCAAAUCGUACCCCAAACCGACACAGGUGUCAGGUAGAGAAUACCAAGGCGCUUGAGAGAACUCGGGUGAAGGAACUAGGCAAAAUGGUGCCGUAACUUCGGGAGAAGGCACGCUGAUAUGUAGGUGAGGUCCCUCGCGGAUGGAGCUGAAAUCAGUCGAAGAUACCAGCUGGCUGCAACUGUUUAUUAAAAACACAGCACUGUGCAAACACGAAAGUGAUCGUAUACGGUGUGACGCCUGCCCGGUGCCGGAAGGUUAAUUGAUGGGGUUAGCGCAAGCGAAGCUCUUGAUCGAAGCCCCGGUAAACGGCGGCCGUAACCAUAACGGUCCUAAGGUAGCGAAAUUCCUUGUCGGGUAAGUUCCGACCUGCACGAAUGGCGUAAUGAUGGCCAGGCUGUCUCCACCCGAGACUCAGUGGAAUUGAACUCGCUGUGAAGAUGCAGUGUACCCGCGGCAAGACGGAAAGACCCCGUGAACCUUUACUAUAGCUUGACACUGAACAUUGAGCCUUGAUGUGUAGGAUAGGUGGGAGGCUUUGAAGUGUGGACGCCAGUCUGCAUGGAGCCGACCUUGAAAUACCACCCUUUAAUGUUUGAUGUUCUAACGUUGACCCGUAAUCCGGGUUGCGGACAGUGUCUGGUGGGUAGUUUGACUGGGGCGGUCUCCUCCUAAAGAGUAACGGAGGAGCACGAAGGUUGGCUAAUCCUGGUCGGACAUCAGGAGGUUAGUGCAAUGGCAUAAGCCAGCUUGACUGCGAGCGUGACGGCGCGAGCAGGUGCGAAAGCAGGUCAUAGUGAUCCGGUGGUUCUGAAUGGAAGGGCCAUCGCUCAACGGAUAAAAGGUACUCCGGGGAUAACAGGCUGAUACCGCCCAAGAGUUCAUAUCGACGGCGGUGUUUGGCACCUCGAUGUCGGCUCAUCACAUCCUGGGGCUGAAGUAGGUCCCAAGGGUAUGGCUGUUCGCCAUUUAAAGUGGUACGCGAGCUGGGUUUAGAACGUCGUGAGACAGUUCGGUCCCUAUCUGCCGUGGGCGCUGGAGAACUGAGGGGGGCUGCUCCUAGUACGAGAGGACCGGAGUGGACGCAUCACUGGUGUUCGGGUUGUCAUGCCAAUGGCACUGCCCGGUAGCUAAAUGCGGAAGAGAUAAGUGCUGAAAGCAUCUAAGCACGAAACUUGCCCCGAGAUGAGUUCUCCCUGACCCUUUAAGGGUCCUGAAGGAACGUUGAAGACGACGACGUUGAUAGGCCGGGUGUGUAAGCGCAGCGAUGCGUUGAGCUAACCGGUACUAAUGAACCGUGAGGCUUAACCC
rnacentral:rRNA from 1 species